rnacentral:tRNA from 1 species
GCCGGCGUGGCUCAGAGGUAGAGCAGCGGUUUCGUAAACCGCAGGUCGGCGGUUCGAAUCCGCCCGCCGGCU